GCCGUAUAGGGGAGCCGGAGGGAAACCGAGUCUUAAUUGGGCGUUAAGUUGCAGGGUAUAGACCCGAAACCCGGUGAUCUAGCCAUGGGCAGGUUGAAGGUUGGGUAACACUAACUGGAGGACCGAACCGACUAAUGUUGAAAAAUUAGCGGAUGACCUGUGGCUGGGGGUGAAAGGCCAAUCAAACCGGGAGAUAGCUGGUUCUCCCCGAAAGCUAUUUAGGUAGCGCCUCGUGAAUUCAUCUCCGGGGGUAGAGCACUGUUUCGGCUAGGGGGCCAUCCCGGCUUACCAACCCGAUGCAAACUGCGAAUACCGGAGAAUGUUAUCACGGGAGACACACGGCGGGUGCUAACGUCCGUCGUGAAGAGGGAAACAACCCAGACCGCCAGCUAAGGUCCCAAAGUCAUGGUUAAGUGGGAAACGAUGUGGGAAGGCCCAGACAGCCAGGAUGUUGGCUUAGAAGCAGCCAUCAUUUAAAGAAAGCGUAAUAGCUCACUGGUCGAGUCGGCCUGCGCGGAAGAUGUAACGGGGCUAAACCAUGCACCGAAGCUGCGGCAGCGA
rnacentral:rRNA from 1 species